rnacentral:rRNA from 1 species
UACAUGGGGUGCAAACGUUGCUCGGAAUUAUUGGGCGUAAAGCGCACGUAGGCGGUUCGUUAAGUCGGAUGUGAAAGCCCUCGGCUCAACUGAGGAAGUGCACCCGAAACUGGCGAGCUUGAGUACGAAAGAGGAUCGCGGAAUUCCCGGUGUAGAGGUGAAAUUCGUAGAUAUCGGGAGGAACACCUGUGGCGAAAGCGGCUCACUGGACCACAACUGACGCUGAGGCGCGAAAGCUAGGGGAGCAAACAGG